UGUGUCUGCUUUUUCAGUCUCCCAAAUCCAAAGUUCGAUUAGUUCAGUGGAGUUCAUCCAACUAAAAUUACUAAAAUCCGUGUGGUGGACUGGAAGGAAAUAUACUAUCAAGUUUUAGAGUGGUUAUCACUAUACAGGAAUAGCAGAUAUUUCUUAUUUUCUGUUUGUGUUUUGAAGCGAUUAUUGAUGGGAAAGCAGAAAAUUCCAGCCAUGGCAGCAGCACUCGCUUCUGUGUGACAUUGGGCAAAUCAGCCUCUCUGUGCUUCGAUUUCCUUAUGGAGAAAUUAAAGGAGGCCACCAAGCCUUUUAGAUCAAGAAUGGAGUGAACCCAGCUGAUGGCUGGUGGGCUGGACGCCUGGCCCCCGGCGACAGGGAACCGCGAGGCUCAGCUUGAGGGUGCGGACAGGUGGGUUCCGGGCUCGGAGGCGUGGGGAGCGCGGCCCCCGCGCGCACUCCACGGCCGGGACCCGGGUGCAGGGGAGGAGGUUUGCUGUGCACCGCGCGUGCGGGCUGGAGAAUUUGACAGAUCGCAGGGAAAGAGAACAAAAAAUAAACACAAAACCCACCGACUUCCCCACAUUUCUCUGCAAAAGAAUCGUGGGUGGAGUCGAAAAGGGGGGCGAUUGAGUAGAAUUCCGCGAGGCCACCUCCGCCGCCCACCUAGCGCCUUGGGGAGCCAGGAGCGUUCCCCGGCCCCCGCCCCGCCCCACUCUGGGCCCCGAGAGGAGGUCGAGGCGAAGCAAGAGACUCGUUCCACUCGAGCUUCCCGAGUACUCGGCUUUGCUCCUCAGUAGUAAACAAAGUGUGGCCGCCGCCUCCACGCUGGUUUGCCUCCUAGCAAUCAAAACACUGAGAGGGCGAGAGACAGAAACACUUGAGAAUUACCAGAAAAUAAUAACAGAGAUCCAAAAAAAAAAAAAAGAGAGAGAGAGAGAGCGAAAGAGAGAGAGUGAAAGAGAAA